AAACACGCUAGGCUCCUUAAGUGAGUUCGCUCUCGACCUAAUUUUCAGAUUUCCUCCCAACUCAUCUCUCUUGAACGAACUCUGAAUUUUCCUCAUCUCUCUUCCUCCCUCGUCGUCACAGAUCUCUCUCUUCAUCUGUCUUUCUCUUUCUGCUAUGCGUCUCUCUCUUGACCAUUCGCUUCUUUUGCUUUGCAGGUCGUGAUCGAUAACGUCGUCUGCUCUCCACUGCGACUUUACUCAAGGUUUCUGAGCUCGCCAUCUCGUCGGGCCGUCGUGAUCAAACCCACCGAAACCCUAAGCUUGCUCCUUCUGCAACAAAACCUCCAAAGCCGCGAAGGCCUCUGCAACAGUUGGUCUGAAAUUUCUUUUCUUUUUUAUGUUCUUUAUGAU